rnacentral:rRNA from 1 species
AAUGAACGUUGGCGGCGUGGAUUAGGCAUGCAAGUCGUGCGGAAGUGGCCCGCAAGGGUUACUUUAGCGGCGCAAGGGAGAGUAAUACGUAGGUACCUACCCCUGGAUCCGGGAUAGCUGCGGGAAACUGCAGGUAAUACCGGAUAACGUCUCCGGCCCAAAGGUGUGAUUCCGUCCGGGGAGGGGCCUGCGUCCUAUUAGCUAGUUGGUGAGGUGAUGGCACACCAAGGCAAAGAUGGGUACGGGGUAUUAGAGUAUGCCCCCGCUCACUGGGACUGAGACACUGCCCAGACACCUACGGGUGGCUGCAGUCGAGGAUCUUCGGCAAUGGGCGCAAGCCUGACCGAGCGACGCCGCGUGUGGGAUGAAGGCCCUCGGGUUGUAAACCACUGUCAGAGGGGAUGAAGUGCCAUAGGGUUCUCUCUAUGGUUUGACAUAUCCUCAGAGGAAGGACGGGCUAAGUUCGUGCCAGCAGCCGCGUAAUAC